CAGAAGAUAGUUUAAUUAAGAAUCUUAGCUUUGGGGGCUAGGGGUAGGAAUUUAAAUUUCCUUUUUCUGA
rnacentral:tRNA from 1 species